UACGUAGGGAGCAAGCGUUGUCCGGAAUCACUGGGCGUAAAGCGCACGUAGGCGGAUUGUUAAGUCAGGGGUGAAAUCCUGGAGCUCAACUCCAGAACUGCCUUUGAUACUGGCGAUCUCGAGUCCGGGAGAGGUGAGUGGAACUGCGAGUGUAGAGGUGAAAUUCGUAGAUAUUCGCAAGAACACCAGUGGCGAAGGCGGCUCACUGGCCCGGUACUGACGCUGAGGUGCGAAAGCGUGGGGAGCAACAGGG
rnacentral:rRNA from 1 species